UACGGAGGGUGCAAGCGUUAAUCGGAAUUACUGGGCGUAAAGCGCGCGUAGGCGGCUCGGUCAGUCGGGUGUGAAAUCCCUGGGCUCAACCUGGGAACUGCAUUCGAUACUGCCGAGCUAGAGUGUGGGGAGAGGGUAGUGGGAAUUCCCGGUGUAGCGGUGAAAAUGCGUAGAUAUCUGGAGGAACACCGGUGGCGAAGGCGACGUCC
rnacentral:rRNA from 1 species